ensembl:snoRNA U3 Small nucleolar RNA U3
AAGGCUAUACUUUCAAGGAUCAUUUCUGUAGUUCGUUACUAGAAAAGUUUCUCUGAAUGAGAAGAAAAGGAAGCUGGGUGGGCGUUAAGC